ACACGACUACAUUAGAUACCCCGGUAGUCCUAGCCGUAAACGAUACUCGCUAGGUGUCGGCCACGGUGCGACCGUUGUCGGUGCCGUAGGGAAGCCGUGAAGCGAGCCACCUGGGAAGUACGGCCGCAAGGCUGAAACUUAAAGGAAUUGGCGGGGGAGCACCACAACGGGUGGAGCUUGCGGUUUAAUUGGAUUCAACGCCGGAAGUCUUACCGGGACCGACAGCAACAUGAAGGCCAGGCUGAAGACUUUGCCGGAUUAGCUG
rnacentral:rRNA from 1 species